UCCUACUGAAGUCUCCUACUGAAGCAAGGU
rnacentral:piRNA from 1 species